CUUUCUCUUUUUCCUGUAGUGUUUCUUUCUCUCUCAUCUCUUUCUCUCUUUCUCCUCUCUCGUCUGUCUUCUCUCUCGUCUCGUCUCGCCUCUCUCGCCAUGGAUUCUUGGGAGGGGAGCUAAAUAUUGGGCUUCAAAUCUGUGACAAUUUUGUUAGACGGUUUGGGGUUUUCUGUGUUGGAGAAAGUCUGCUUAUUUAAGAUUCAUUUUAUAGAAUUUAUUGGCUUUUUUUUUAUCGCUCUGUUUAGGGUUUUUGAUUAAUCUGGGAAGUGAAUCUUUUGGUUUUCAGUAUAUUGGUUGGGGCAUUACUGAUUUACUUCUGAAUAAUGUGCAUGCUAAAUUAAUCAUCAUUCCAGUAUUUGUGAAACAUUAUGCUUUUCAACCAUGGCAGCAUUAUGUUUAGAGACAUGGUCUCCUUUUGGUGAUUCAAUAAUUGUAUUUUAUCAUUAGCAUUUAGUUGUCUUGAAGUUGUUAUAGUCAUGGAAUAGGAGAGGAUAAUUAAUGGUGAAUUUAACCUUCUUUUUAGAAUACACCAAUCUUGAAAGGGAGUCGCAGAAUACAAGGACCUGUAGAUGAUGCAGAACAUGACAAUCAGAAGAAUUCGGAAUUUUAUAUGUCUAAUCUGCAAUGCAUGGGCAGCUGGACUUCUAGUAUGAAUCAACAUGGUUAAUACCGCUCGGGAGAAAUUGGCCUGCAAGUGUGCAAUAGAUUAAAAAAGCUCAACCAUGUUGUGGAUUCCGAUCUUUGGACAUCACGCCUUGCUGCUGCCAAACACCAAUAUGCGUUGCAGCGCCAUCAGAACUCUCACUUAGAUGGGUUGUGCAUCGACGACUUUGAGGUUGAAGAGGAUGUUCGUCCUGAUUUCCCCUGCCCGUUUUGUUAUGAAGAUUACGAUAUUACUUUUCCAUGUUCGCAUAUCGAAGACGAGCAUCCUUUUGAAUCGAAAGUCACUGUGAGAGUGAGUGGGUUUUAGGGCACUAACCAACUUAAUAGCUUAGAUGCGCAUGAGGCGAUCAAAGAGCCAUUUUCCUACACUGUGCACAGGCCAACCAAUGGGAUCUUUGACCACAGUACCUUUGACACGACGUAUUGGAUAUUGUUGGCCAGAAAGAGAUAUGAUAGAGAGACAUUCUUGUACAACUCGGCCUUACCAUCAAGUUUGCAAAGGACGACCAGUAUGAUCCAUACCAAUCAGAUGGAAAUCGCCGAUGACUGGUUAUCCACCCAGCUUGGGCUCGAGUAGUAAGACUCUAGAAGUGGAGAUUGCAUCGGCACAGGUCCAUUGGCAAUGAUAUUGGAAAGACUUCCAUUGUAAUCGGCCAAUAAGGUCAAGUAGUUCAUCACGUAUCGAGUAAGAGGGUGCAGUCCACCACCAGGAACAGAGGAUUUCGAUGGAUCCUUCUGAAUUGCUGAUUCGAAGUUUGAUGGCCAGUUUACUAAGAGGUUUGUUUGGUAAACUCAGUUUUGGUCCAAAUGUGGCUGUUGUCUACUGUGAUAGUCAGAGUGCUAUUCAUUUGACUAAGGAUCAAAUGUAUCAUGAGAGGACGAAACACAUUGAUGUGGGAUGCCAUUUUAUCUGUGAUGUUGUAAAACAAUGAAAUAUCAUUGUGAAGAAGAUUGGUAUUAUAGAUAACCUAGCUGAUAUGUUAACAAAGCCUCUUCUUGUGGCUAAGUUCAAGCAUUCCUUGGACUUGAUUGGUGUUUGCAACAUUUGAGUUUGCCCAUUGGGGCUUUUGUUGGAGAAGGUGGAGGAAGAUUACUAUUUUGUGAUGUUUGAGAAAAUUCAAGCCAAAGUGGAGAUUUGUUA